UACGGAGGGGGCUAGCGUUGUUCGGAAUUACUGGGCGUAAAGCGCACGUAGGCGGCUUUGCAAGUUAGAGGUGAAAGCCCGGGGCUCAACUCCGGAAUUGCCUUUAAAACUGCAUCGCUAGAAUUGUGGAGAGGUAAGUGGAAUUCCGAGUGUAGAGGUGAAAUUCGUAGAUAUUCGGAAGAACACCAGUGGCGAAGGCGGCGAGCUGGCCUGUACCUGACGCUGAGGCGCGACAGCGUGGGGAGCAAACAGG
rnacentral:rRNA from 1 species